CAACAACAAGUCAUUUUUUAGCAAAAAACAAAACCGACUUCUGUUCCCAUAUAAACAUUUAAGAUCAACGUCAAUUUCUUCAUGAUCCAAUGAUCGGAUUUAAACCAAUGUAGUAUGGGACAACCUGUGAGGU